rnacentral:rRNA from 1 species
AUUGAACGCUGGCGGCAGGCCUAACACAUGCAAGUCGAACGAGUGGCGGACGGGUGAGUAAUGUCUGGGAAACUGCCUGAUGGAGGGGGAUAACUACUGGAAACGGUAGCUAAUACCGCAUACCAUCAGAUGUGCCCAGAUGGGAUUAGCUUGUUGGUGGGGUAACGGCUCACCAGGGCGACGAUCCCUAGCUGGUCUGAGAGGAUGACCGCCCACACUGGACCUGAGACACGGUCCAGACUCCUACGGAGGGCAGCAGUGGGGAAUAUUGCACAAUGGGGGCAAGCCUGAUGCGGCCAUGCCGCGUGUAUGAGGAAGGCUUUCGGGUUGUAAAGUACGUUCAGCGGGGAGGCGUUACCCGCAGAAGAAGCAACGGCUAACUCCGUGCCAGCCGCCGCGGUAAUAC